AACAAUACUCAUCCAGGCGGAUGGCCCACCAGCGCAAAGGGCUGAAAAGUUCCAUGGCAGCCUCAUAACUGGAGGGUGUGUCCAUGAGGAGGGUUUCGAUGACACGCUGAAAGCUCGGGCAGAUCUCUGCAGAAGCUGCAACACAGAGGAGAGAAGGCACAUGUCUCCAGGCCCCUUUCCAAGCUGGCUAGCCCUCUGGCUGGGUCUGCCCAGAUGCAAACAGCCAGGCCCAUCAGCGAGAGAUAGCAGCCUUUUCAUCGAUGGACUAGAGUGUAAGAUUUGUGGAUUGCCCGAGUCUUCCUUAGACUUCUUGGGUUGAGGUGAGCAAGGUGCCGUUUUUCUUUCUGUUGGAGAUCAAGGCAGAGUAUUGAUCAUAGAAGCUGCUGGCCUGAUUUUUUAAUGCAGUGUGGAGGCUGGGAAGAGGCCACUGAGGGUUUUAUUUCCCACCAGAAACUUGCCUCUCAUCAGUGGUUAGAGAUGCCCUGAGCCAUGCUUCACUGGGGGCAUGUG
rnacentral:lncRNA from 1 species